UAAGCAGAUGAACACCAUGGCAAAACUUGCAAUUUAGAAAGAUUUCUCAAAGCAGAAUGUGGACUGAGUGGGGAAGCCUAGGAGCAGGGAGGUGAUAGAAGGACUUGCAGUCAAACACUGGAAGUGUUAACUACAGAUUUAUUUCCUAUUUUGUCUUCCCUCAAAUUCCCACUAAAAGGAUGUUACCUUUAAAUAUAUUUUUAUUUAUUUAAAAAAUAUUUUUGCGGUACAUGGGCCUCUCACUGCUGUGGCCUCUCCCGUUGCGGAGCACAGGCUUCGGACGCGCAGGCUCAGCAGCCAUGGCUCACCGGCCCAGCCGCUCCGCGGCACGUGGGAUCUUCCCGGACCGGGGCACGAACCCGUGUCCCCUGCAUGGGCAGGCGGACUCUCAACCACUGCGCCACCAGGGAAGCCCCUACAUACAUUUUUUAAGAAUAGAAUAACAGCAAAUGAAGAAAGAGUUAAGCCCCAUUUGGGAAGCUAGAAAAUAGAUGGAAGAACAAGGACUGACAGCAGCAUGGAGAAAGAAGGGGAUUCAGGGGAAGUUUGCAUGUGGAACGGUGAAACUCCAAGGAGGCUGCCUUGCUCCUGGAAUGCCAGCAUCUGUGUAGCAUCCAGGCAGGAGUCCAAAGGUUCCCUUUCUGGAAAAAGGGAAAAUCCUCAGAGAACAGACCUCCUGAUACUUCUUGUCACUGUCAUUUUUGUCUUAGUGUUAAUGUAAAAGUUUUGUUUUGUUUUGUUUUUAAAUUGCGGCGAAAAGCAACAUGGAUGGACCUAGAGAUUGUCAUACUGAGUCAUCCAGAGAAAGAGAAAUAUCAUAUGAUAUCGCUUAUAUGCAGAAUCUAAAAAAAAAAUGAUACAAAUGAACUUAUUUACAAAACAGAAACAGACUCAGACUUAGAGAACUAACUUAUGGUUACCGAGGGGAAGGGUUGGGGGAAGGGAUAGUUAGGGAGUUUGGGAUUGACAUGUACACACUGUUAUAUUUAAAAUAAAUAGCCAACAAGAAAAAAAA